UUACCUGGUUUUGUCCUGCCAGUAGCAUAUGCUUGUCUCAAAGGCUAAGCCAUGCAUGUCUAAGUACAAGCCUAACUAAGGUGAAACCGCGAAUGGCUCAUUAAAUCACACUUAAUCUACUGGAAUGUUAACAGUUACUUGGAUAACUGCGGUAAUUCUGGAGCUAAUACAUGCGAAAAAUCUCGACUCACGGAGAGAUGCUUUUAUUAGAUCAAAACCAAACAGCCUUCGGCUGUAAUACUGGUGACUCUGAAUAACUUUGGGCUGAUCGCAUCGCCUUGUGCGGGCGACGUUUCCUUCGAAAGUGUGCCCUAUCAACUGUCGACUGUGAUAUAGACGCUCACAGUGGUUUUGACGGGUAACGGGGAAUCAGGGUUCGAUUCCGGAGAGGGAGCCUUAAAAACGGCUACCACAUCUAAGGAAGGCAGCAGGCACGCAAAUUACCCAAUCAUCGAAGAUGGAGGUAGUGACGAAAAAUAACAAUACAAGACUCAUCCGAGGCCUUGUAAUUGGAAUGAGUAUACUUUAAAACCGUUCCCGAGGAUCUAUUGGAGGGCAAGUCUGGUGCCAGCA
rnacentral:rRNA from 1 species